rnacentral:tRNA from 1 species
GCCGGCGUAGCUCAGCGGUAGAGCAACGGUUUCGUAAACCGUGGGUCGGAGGUUCGAAUCCUCUCGCCGGCUCCC